CAGCAGUGGGGAAUAUUGAGCACAAAGGGCCAAACCCCGAUCUGCCACCCUUGCCGUGUGUGUUAAAAACCCCUCUAUGGUGGAAAACCACUCUACGCGAGGAGGAGGAUCCUCUUGUUAAUACCUAGAGAUAGUGGACGUUACUCGCAGAAUAAGCACCGGGUAACUGGGUGCCAGCAGCCGCGGUAAUACAGAGGGUGCAAGCGUUAAUCGGAUUUACUGGGCGUAAAGCGCGCGUAGGCGGCUAAUUAAGUCAAAUGUGAAAUCCCCGAGCUUAACUUGGGAAUUGCAUUCGAUACUGGUUAGCUAGAGUGUGGGAGAGGAUGGUAGAAUUCCAGGUGUAGCGGUGAAAUGCGUAGAGAUCUGGAGGAAUACCGAUGGCGAAGGCAGCCAUCUGGCCUAACACUGACGCUGAGGUGCGAAAGCAUGGGGAGCAAACAGGAUUAGAUACCCUGGUAGUCCAUGCCGUAAACGAUGUCUACUAGCCGUUGGGGCCUUUGAGGCUUUAGUGGCGCAGCUAACGCGAUAAGUAGACCGCCUGGGGAGUACGGUCGCAAGACUAAAACUCAAAUGAAUUGACGGGGGCCCGCACAAGCGGUGGAGCAUGUGGUUUAAUUCGAUGCAACGCGAAGAACCUUACC
rnacentral:rRNA from 1 species